rnacentral:rRNA from 1 species
CGGGGGCAACCCUGGUGGCGAGUGGCGAACGGGUGAGUAAUACAUCGGAACGUGUCCUUUCGUGGGGGAUAACCAGUCGAAAGACUGGCUAAUACCGCAUGAGAUCGCAAGAUGAAAGCGAGGGACCCGAGGGUAACUUCGGGCCUCGCGCGAUAGGAGCGGCCGAUGUCGGAUUAGCUAGUUGGCGGGGUAAAAGCCCACCAAGGCGACGAUCCGUAGCUGGUUUGAGAGAACGACCAGCCACACUGGGACUGAGACACGGCCCAGACUCCUACGGGAGGCAGCAGUGGGGAAUUUUGGACAAUGGGCGCAAGCCUGAUCCAGCCAUGCCGCGUGUGUGAAGAAGGCCUUCGGGUUGUAAAGCACUUUCGGCCGGAACGAAAUCGCCUUUGUCAAUAGCGAGGGUGGAUGACGGUACCGGAAGAAGAAGCACCGGCUAACUACGUGCCAGCAGCCGCGGUAAUACGUAGGGUGCGAGCGUUAAUCGGAAUUACUGGGCGUAAAGGGUGCGCAGGCGGUUCCGCAAGUCAGGCGUGAAAUCCCCGGGCUUAACCUGGGAAUUGCACUUGAAACUACGGGACUAGAGUAUGGCAGAGGGAGGUGGAAUUCCACGUGUAGCGGUGAAAUGCGUAGAGAUGUGGAGGAACACCGAUGGCGAAGGCAGCCUCCUGGGCCAAUACUGACGCUCAUGCACGAAAGCGUGGGGA